rnacentral:sRNA from 1 species
GCUAGAUCAUACUUGUCUCCAUCACCAUCCAAUUAAUCUUCCCUGUGUCAUCAGUCAUCUUUCUCUGAUGUAACUGUCCUAACGUCUCUUGUUUGCAAACCUUCCUAACGAAGCUUAUGAAUGGAGCUACGUGGUAGACUGUUAUGUAGCAAUUGAAACCUUCCCUCCUGAAAGAGGGAGGGAGGCUCAUAAGACACAGGAAAUAAACAAACUUACAACUUUCAAAAGGCCCCGGAACUUAUAAGAUUCAUAAGGCCCCUUUCCAAGGUUAUCUAAACAGUAACACUUGCUGGACAGAGGAGACUCUCUCACCCCCACCGGCUCAGCUGCCUGUGCGCCAUGCAAGGAGCUCCAGAGAUGCAGCUUUGGUGAGUCGUCGUCACCAAUGCUCUAGUGGAUUUUUUGAUGAUCAUCUGGCUUUGCGACAUCCAUGCUGUACGGUGUUGUGCUGUUGCUGUUUGCUUUUGCUGUGGCAGUGUAAAAGCAUCUGUGGAAAUGACUGGUCCAGCAGAAGGAAGCAACUGAGACAACUUGUAAGUAGAUCCUAUCAUGGUCUGGGAACAAGCAGAAAAGCAUAAGAAGAAAUCAAACUGAGGGACAAUUGGUCUGUGUAGUCAUGGUAUCUGCCUUCAACUGAUGAUCAAGUAGAGAUCAUGUAGAGAUAGAUGCAGGUUGUGUGGAGUCUUCUAGCAUGGAAGCUGGGUCUGUCUGCUGGCCUAUAACUUUGCCUCUAGUGUGGUAUUCACCUGGGUGAUAGCAGUACAGGAACUUCCCCAUGAGAGAGAUUUUUACAAUAUUAUCUUCUGUAUUGUCUCUAAGCUACCAGGGAACCAAGAGUAGUCCUCGGUUGUUUAUCCUAUGCAAGGACAUUCCAAUAUACAAAUUUGAGGUCAUAUCAAUGAAAAGAAUUUUUAAAAUACUUGGCACAAAUGAAAUAUAUGAUUCUUAAAGCUACUACUUAGAAUCAGAUAACAAAAACUGGGUGUGUGUUAGGUUUUAGGCCUGGCUGUUGACAACUGACAGAGCUCCUUCAAAGCUCAAGGUUUUGUGGUGUGCCUAUGUGAAAAACUGUCUUUACUGCAGUAGGGCAGUAUGUUGUUUCAGUCAUUU